rnacentral:rRNA from 1 species
UACGUAGGUGGCAAGCGUUAUCCGGAAUUAUUGGGCGUAAAGCGCGCGCAGGCGGUCUUUUAAGUCUGAUGUGAAAGGUCAUGGCUCAACCAUGGAAUUGCAUUGGAAACUGGGAGACUUGAGUGCAGAAGAGGAGAGUAGAAUUCCACGUGUAGCGGUGAAAUGCGUAGAGAUGUGGAGGAAUACCAAUGGCGAAGGCAACUCUCUGGUCUGUAACUGACGCUGAGGCGCGAAAGCGUGGGGAGCAAACAGG